CGCGGUCAGCCCGGGCGCAGCGCGACCCGCCGCGUCGGGCGGCCGCCUCCAGCCCGGGGACAGGCGUGGACGUGGAGCGGAUCCCCCGGCACGCCGCGUGGGGAAGACAGGAGGCCGUUCCCGGCCGGCAGGUGGUGCUCACCAGGAAGGGGAAAUCUGUGGUUUGAAUUCUUCGUGCCUCAUCCUCUGAAAGCCGGAGGCCUGCUGGAGGCUGUAUGCUGUUAAUGCUAAUCGUGAUAGGGGUUUUACCUCCGACUGACUCCUACAUGUUAGCAUUAACAGGGUACGGUGCCUGAUACUAGCAUUCACACAGAACAGAUGUGCUGUGGGAGGAGGACGAAGAAGCAUGAGUCACCCUGCUGGAGAGACUGGGCUUCGGGCUUCAUUGUAAUUUGUUAACCUUCAUCUGGUCCCUGGGCUGUUCCACCUUAAACUACGUUUUAGGAGUCAGGUCAUUGAAAAGAUUUAUCAGCAAUAUGUAUUCCGAAUGGGAACAUUGCUACUUGAAUCGUCAAGCACACAUCUUUGUUUUUCCCUUUAAAGGAAAACGCAUUCAUGUCAUUUUUAAUUCUAAGUUAUGGUUUGUUCAUUAUAACUGCUCAUGAGCACUUUCAGUGCUUCAGCUGGAAGACAUGGGAACUAAAGACAUUCUGAAACAGGUUUCUAGGAUGUUUUGGUUGUGAGAAAUUAGAAGGACCGCUAUCCUCCAGUUAUAUCCUGGGUUGUCCAGCAACAUUUUUAAAAAGAUGUAGAAAAAUAGUAUUUCCCCCAUGUAGUGACUUUCUAUUUAGAAAACUUCAGUUUAAAAUUAAUACUUUUAUACAAAUUGCAAGCUAUAAAAGUAGUCACAGGGAUAUAAAAUACAGGAUAGGGGACAUAGUUAAUAAUGUUAUAAUAGCUAUGUAAAGUGCUCCGUGGGUACUAGACUUUUUAUGGCGAUCACUUCAUAAGGUAGAUAAACGUCUAAUCACCAUGUUGUAUACUUGAAACUAAUAGUGUAUGUCAACUCUAAUUGAAAAAUAAAUUUUUAAAAAUACUUUUAUUUGAACCUUAAGAGAAAUAGAAAGGCUAUUAUUACACGGAAUUUGUAUUUAAAAAAUGAAAUAUUUUGAUCAAUCAGCAUGGCAAAUGAUGUCUGAGAGCUAACUCCUGGUCUUUUUCCUACAAAAUACAAAGACUUGAUUGAAAAAUUUUGUAUCUGAAAUUAAGUCCCAAACAUCGGUUCAGUGGCUUAGCCACAUCAUAAAGCCCUGGGGUCAGAGAAUCCACUUUUCUCUAAGCCUGUUUCUUCACCCAUGGAACAGGGCUAAUCCUUUACAAGGCGGUGUGAGGCCCAUAAGAUAGAAAACUGUUUUGUAAAACAUAAAGGGCUACAUUAAUGUUAUAAUAAACGUAAUCCAACAACUAGUCCUCCCACUUUGUUAGAGACAAGCUAUUGAUUUGAUUGACAGAAUUCUUAAGGUUUGGAUCGCUAUAUAAUUUUUCUCCAUAAUUAACUCUAUCACUUACAUAUAAAUAGCCAAUUGUAAUUGUUAGCAUAUUUAAUGUAUACUUGUAUUAGCAACUCUUCUCAACAUUCUGUCAAACAGUUACGUACUAUAACCAAAUAAAGCUCUUGAGUCUUUAGUGAUUAAAAUUAAUUUUAUGGUCUUUUGCAAGGUACAAUCUGUAAUUUCAGAAGUUAUUCACACACAAGGAGACAGUGGGGGAAAAAUUAUGAGAAUCCUGAGGGGAACAUUCCUGACUCCUAGGACAUAGUCUUCUCACCGAGGGCACCCCCUUGGCCUAGCCCCAUUUCUGUUCACGUUGUGUGAGCUGCCAAGAUAAAUUCUCCUCUUAACCCUUGGAAUGAACAUUUGGCUCCAUGGAGCUCCCAUGUAGGCGUGUCACAUUCAAGGGUGUUUCUUUGGACUAUUCUUUUUUUUAAAAAAAAAAAAAAAUACUUUUACUGAUUUUUAGAGAGGGAGAAAGGGAGAGGGAGAGUGAGUCCUGUACAUCCCCCACUGGGGAUCAAGUCCACAACACAGGCAUGUGCCCUGACUGGGAAUCGAACCAGCAACCUUUCAGUGCACAGGACAAUGUCCAACCAACUGAGCCACACUGCCCAGGGCUAUUCAUUUCAUCUGCAUGUUUAUCAACAAGAGUAGUCCUUAUUUUGAGCCCCAGUUCUUCAAAACUUUGCUGCAUAAAGCCACAAAGUCCCAGAAUGUUAGGCCUGGAAUAAGACUGAUCCAGUAUGGCCUUUCUGCUGUUAUAAUGAAACGCUAUGACCAUCUAAAAGCAAUGACUAAGAGAAACUACUGUAGAAUGCCUUAUGUGAGAAGCACUAGAAUACACCACAUGAAAUGUAAGCGAGUUAAUCUCUCUAAGCCUCAGUUUCCUCAUCAGUAAAAUGAUGAAUGUAUUUCAGAAGGAUGGUAGGCUUAAUUGAAACAGUGCAUGUGCAGAGCACAAUAUCUGUAGUAACUGUAUGGUACUAGGCGGGGACUAGAACUACCGGGGAUCACUAUGUAAAU